GCCUGGUGGUGCAUGCCGGUGUUCUCAACUAUAAGGGAGGCUGAGGAUGAUGGAUCUUUAGAGCUCAGGAGUUCUGAGCUGUAGUGGACAGAACACUAAGUUUGGCAUUAAUGUAGUGAACCCUGGGGAGCAGAGAGACCACCAGGCUAGCUAAUGAGGAGUAAAUAGCCAUAGGUCAGAAAUGGAGCAGGGUAAAGUUCCUGUGCUGAUUGGAAUAAGAUCAGGACUGUGGGUGGCCCCUGUACUCCCCGCCUGGGCAAGAUAGGGGGACCCAUUGU
rnacentral:SRP_RNA from 1 species